rnacentral:lncRNA from 1 species
AGCAAGGCAUGUGGUAGAUUGACCAUUUCCCACAAGAGUAUAACCUUGUAGAUUCAUUUACAGUAUGAACAUUAUUACCCCGAUUAUUAUGGAUAGCGGUGCGAACUUCAAAAUUACCUCUUUUGUUAUCAUAUUGCAAAAAGGAAUGCCAAUGUGCUCGCCGUAUGUAUUUUACAAGUCUCCGCAUAGGCACUGGAAUAAAU